UAAUUUAUUUUCCAGGUGUGGUCUGCACCUAAUUAUUGUUACAGAUGUGGCAACGUUGCUUCUAUACUGAGCUUCGGCGAAAAUAUGGAAAGAGAGGUCAAGUUCUUCACGGAGACCGACGAGAACAACCAAAUGCGAGGGCCUAGGACCUCAGUCCCAUAUUUUCUUUGACCUCUUUUGUACAUUGUGUUUUGUGGUUUCUAUUUUUCGGGGGCUAAAGAUCAAUCCAAUAGGUGUGUUCAUUGUUGUAGCUUCAGCUCAUAGUGCAGUCUGAUUAUCUGAUGCAAUUGAUGUUACAGGUUAAUUUAACACGCUGUAAGAUAGAUUAUUGCGUGUGUAGCUGCCAUUGCUACUUGUUCUUUUUUCCCUUCAUCACCUAUCUGCCCCAAAGUUAAGUUCAAUCUGCUGGAAGCCUGGAACGUGUCAACACAUGGAGGAAGAGGAAGGGGAACCGAAAGAAUACUAGAAGCUGUCAACUAGCAUUGCCUUGUGCAGAUCAGAGUCUCCAAGGCAGGGCCAUUGUAUGAUUGUAUCUUUCUCAUCAUUCAACUCAGGAACCUUAAUUUAAACCAUUUAAAACCUAACUCUGUUGAUGUAGUUAAAUUUUGCGAUGAAUGGCGAACAUUCUGAGUUCUUUGA